CAGUCUCUCUCACUCACCAAGGCCUGGCCUCUUCAGUAUGAGGAAAGUACUGGGGCCUGGAGGAAGGAGGGACUAAAUCUUGCCUGGCCUCGUUACAACCUGGCAUGCUAUUAAUGAAUGUUUGGAAACCAGGAGCUAAACCAGUCACCCCUUUGGCACUGCACUUCUGAAGAUGUUCAACUAGCAAUGGAUGGUCUUGUUGCAGUAGAUUCAGCCUUAUCAGCCCAGAGGACAACAGAACUACCAAAUUCUAUUUCUACCCUACAUAGAUGUGACGGCAACCACCACUAAGAGGGUAGUCACAACCAACUGUAGCCAAACUUGCCAACUGAGUGGUUCAGAUAAUUCACAGACUGCAGGAAUUCCUCUACUUGCAGGUUGAUUGUCUUGCCCAUUGUUUAGCUACUGAUUUGAACAACAAGGAGGAGGGGUGAACACAAACAGGAUGUGUCAAAGGAAUAGACAACUAAUAAGUAAAAUGCAACAUCAGAGUUGUACAGCUGUGCCGGAGGAAGAUGGGAUUAACAACAAUGUGGCAGUGCAAGGACAGCAACAAGACAAUUCUAAGCAUGUUCACUUGGAAAUAAUUCCCGCUCAGUU